UCUUCCCUCUUUCUUCGCGCCUAACACAUGCAAGUCGAACGAUUAAAGCACCUUCGGGUGUGUAUAAAGUGGCGAACGGCUGAGUAACACGUGGGCAACCUGCCCCUUUCAUUGGGAUAGCCACGGGAAACCGUGGAUAAUACCGAAUACUUCGAGACUUCCGCAUGGAAGACUCGAGAAAGCUCCGGCGGAGAGGGAUGGGCCCGCGGCCUGUUAGCUUGUUGGUGGGGUAACGGCCUACCAAGGCAAUGAUGGGUAGCUGGGUUGAGAGACCGACCAGCCAGAUUGGGACUGAGACACGGCCCAGACUCCUACGGGAGGCAGCAGUGGGGAAUCUUGCACAAUGGGCGAAAGCCUGAUGCAGCGACGCCGCGUGCGGGAUGAAGGCCUUCGGGUUGUAAACCGCUUUCAGCAGGGACGAGGCGAAAGUGACGGUACCUGCAGAAGAAGCCCCGGCUAACUACGUG
rnacentral:rRNA from 1 species